rnacentral:rRNA from 1 species
AUGAAAAGUCAAGCUGACAAGCACCACACGGAUCGUGAAUUUGCAGUCGGAGAUCGUGUGUUCCUGAAGCUUCAACCUUAUCUUCAAGCUUCAGUAGCCCCGCGUGCAAACCAUAAACUUGCAUUCAAGUUCUAUGGCCCUUUCCGUAUCCUGGAGCGUGUGGGAGCUGUGGCAUACAAGCUCGAGCUGCCAGCAAGCAGUAAGGUCCAUCCUGUGUUCCACGUGUCCCUGCUCAAGAAAGUGCUGACACCGGACUAUGAAGUAUUGCCACAACUACCUGCUCCUGAAGAUCAGUUUCGGUGUCCUGAACAGAUCAUGCAGCAGCGAGUUGUCUGUCGUGGCUCUGACUCGGUCAUCCAAGUGUUAGUCAAGUGGAGUGGAUUGCCGGAGGACAUGCCUACUUGGGAAGAUAAGGUGACGUUGCAACAAAACUUUCCGAGAGAACCGGCUUGGGGGCAAGCCGCUUCUAAGGGAGGAGGGAUUGUCAAUGAUCAAGAUGGGCGCCAAGUUGAGGUUCAAAACAAUGCUCGGCCCAAGAGGCAGCCUCGCGUGCCCGCUCGGCUAGCUGGGCCUGAAUGGGCCUAG